rnacentral:lncRNA from 1 species
GUCUCCUGUUAAGGAACACUUACAAGCCCAGAGAGAUACCAAAAUGCGCAAGCCUCGGCCAUCAUCAAGGAACUGAGAAAAUGUGUCUUCAACCAUGAGGAGGAAAAUUCAAAGGAGUUCCGAACACAUACAAAUACAUGUAAAGGGACAGAGAUGAAAGGAAUGGAGCCAUCGGAGCGGGAGUACAGGGGGAGAGGGAGCAGCACCUAUGCCCAAGCCCCGACUGGGCAGCCUGGGCCAGCCCUCAGGAUGAGAGCAAGGUUCUCAAUGCCCUUCCUCACCUCCCUCCUCAAUGAUGUUCUUCAUCCUCACCAUCCCAUCACCUCCAGAGACUAGUGUGUUUGUGGCACCCUUCUUCCCAGUCAAGCCUGCUCUCAGAAAUCAUCCUUGGGAAGGGUCAACAUGAUAGCCACAUAUGGAAGGGGCGUG